GACGAACGCUGGCGGCGUGCCUAACACAUGCAAGUCGAACGGGACCAGGGGCAACUCUGGUUCAGUGGCGGACGGGUGCGUAACACGUGAGGAACAUGACCCUUCGGUCGGGGGAGUAGCCGGCCCAACCGGCCGGGUAAGUACCGCGUACGACCACUCUGGGACGAUCCCUCCGGUGGUGAAAGACAGCAAUGCGCCGAUGGAGUGCCUCGCGGCCUAUCAGCUAGUUGGUGAGGUAAUGGCUCACCAAGGCGACGACGGGUAGCUGGU
rnacentral:rRNA from 1 species